GACGAACGCUGGCGGCGUGCUUAACACAUGCAAGUCGAACGGAAAGGCCCUGCUUGCAGGGUACUCGAGUGGCGAACGGGUGAGUAACACGUGGGUGAUCUGCCCUGCACUUCGGGAUAAGCCUGUGAAACUGGGUCUAAUACCGGAUAGGAGCCAUUUUUAGUGUGAUGGUUGGAAAGUUUUUUCGGUGUAGGAUGAGCUCGCUGCCUAUCAGCUUGUUGGUGGGGUAAUGUCCUACCAAGGCGGCGACGGGUAGCCGGACUGCGAGGGUGGACGGCCACACUGGGACUGAGAUAAGGCCCAGACUCCUACGGGAGGCAGCAGUGGGGAAUAUUGCACAAUGGGCGCAAGCUUGAUGCAGCGAGGCUGCGUGGGGGAUGACGGCCUUAGGGUUGUAAACUCCUUUCGCUAGGGACGAAGCUUUUUGUGACGGUACCUAGAUAAGAAGCACCGGCUAACUACGUG
rnacentral:rRNA from 1 species